UCCGAGUUGACCCCGGCAGUCUCCUACGAGUCCCCGGCAUUACCCGCUGGCAACAUAGGACAAGGGUUGCGCUCGUUGCGGGACUUAACCCAACAUCUCACGACACGAGCUGACGACAGCCAUGCACCACCUGUGAUGGUGUCCCGAAGGAAAACCGUGUUUCCACGGCGGUCACCAACAUGUCAAGCCCAGGUAAGGUUCUCCGCGUUGCCAUCAUUAAGUUGGGCACUCUGAGGAGACUGCCGGUGUUAAACCGGAGGAAGUGGGGAUGACGUGUCCUUGAUAGG
rnacentral:misc_RNA from 1 species